rnacentral:rRNA from 2 species
UAGGGAAUCUUCGGCAAUGGACGAAAGUCUGACCGAGCAACGCCGCGUGAGUGAAGAAGGUUUUCGGAUCGUAAAACUCUGUUGUUAGAGAAGAACAAGGACGUUAGUAACUGAACGUCCCCUGACGGUAUCUAACCAGAAAGCCACGGCUAACUACGUGCCAGCAGCCGCGGUAAUACGUAGGUGGCAAGCGUUGUCCGGAUUUAUUGGGCGUAAAGCGAGCGCAGGCGGUUUCUUAAGUCUGAUGUGAAAGCCCCCGGCUCAACCGGGGAGGGUCAUUGGAAACUGGGAGACUUGAGUGCAGAAGAGGAGAGUGGAAUUCCAUGUGUAGCGGUGAAAUGCGUAGAUAUAUGGCGGAACACCAGUGGCGAAGGCGGCUCUCUGGUCUGUAACUGACGCUGAGGCUCGAAAGCGUGGGGAGCAAACAGG